CUGUUUGCCCCCGGGUGGAAGGGGAGAGACAAUGAGCGGCCGUGGCAGCGUAGGUUUUCGAGAGCGGCUACGGCUCGCCGGUUACCCCGCUGUGCCCGCCUCCCUCGCCGGCUGCCGCUGCCAGGCCCGAGGCGCAGGCCUCCUCCACCUUGCAGGCGCUCGGAGCAGGCCUAGCCAAGCUGUAGGGGAGCUGAGCUGGGGAGGAAAUUCGUCCCCGGUGACUCCUGCUCCACUGGACGCUUCCUCCAUCCCGGCAGCAGUCUUGGCCGGAUCUCCCCAGGGCCUCGCGCUCUUGGAGCCGCCGCUUCCCUGCGCUGCCAGGAGGCCACCGCUGCUCAGCCCCGGGGCUGCUGCUGCGGCCGCUGCCGCUACUGAGCAAACCAGACCCGCCCCACGAGCCCGGGGGGAGGGAGCUGGUAUUAGGGGAGACACCCCCUCCGAGGCUGGAGGAGGAUUUUUCUCUCUCACAUCCAGCUUCCUGAUUCAGUCACAGCCAUCUCGCUCCCAGCCCCCUUAGCCCCAGUUUUCCAACCGGUCUCCCACUUUCACGUACCCUGAAGGCAGGCAUUUAAAGCAAAAAA
ensembl:lncRNA novel transcript